rnacentral:rRNA from 1 species
UUCUUUAAUUGGGGGCUGGAAUGAAUGGUUAAUACUAAGGAGAAAGUUUUAUUAGAAGAUUUUGAAUUUAAUUUAAAGAUAAAAAAGUCUUUAUUAACCCUUGGGACGAGAAGACCCUAGAAGCUUUGAAGAGAAAUUUUUUUGAUUGGGGUGAUUGAUUGAAGAAAAAGAUUUUUAAUUUAGAAAAGUAAAGUAUGUAAGUUACUCUAGGGAUAACAGCGUUAUUUAAUUAACGAGUUCUUAUUAAUAAUUAAGAUUGCGACCUCGAUGUUGAAUUAAAAUAAAAGUUUGGUGGAGAAGCUAAAUAUUUUAGUCUGUUCGACUAUUAAAAUUUUACGUGAUCUGAGUUCAGACCGG